CUAGUCACUGCUCCUAAUUCUGCUCCUUCAGGAUCCCAUGUGAAAACCCAACUAUUGAUGGCGUCAUCCGAAUUGGCUCCUGCCCUCAGCAGGCUAAUUGUGUAGGCUGGCAACUGCAGAGAGAAACCCACAUCUCCCAGCCACCCCUUCCAUUGCCACCCUCCUCCACCCCUCACCAACCCUUCCGGCCCUUUCAGCAGAUGGCUGCUCACACAGCAUGUUCUUUUCUGUGGAAAAUCCUUAAGAAGCCCAGAGGCAAAGGAUGCUCAAAAAAAUUAUGUUUGCCAGUGGCGUUCUCUUUGCAGACUGUGGACCAGACUCAGUAAGGGAUACUCAGUGGGAGAAAUGAGCUGGGAGUCAUCAGGACAUGUUGCUGAGUUGCUGUGUGACUCUGGGUCAUCCAAGGACAGAAGACUCAGUUUCUUCUCCACUGACUUCCAGAAGCCUCCCACAUUUCCGCUUCCAGUUACCUGGUCCUGUUCCCUAUUUCUUCCUGGAGGAAUCAUUCCUAAGCCUAGGAUGGUCAGACACAUGAAGUUAAGAACAGCUGAUUCAGGACUUCCGUGUUGGUCCAGUGGUUAAGAAUCCGCCUGCCAAUGCAGGAGGCAUGAAUUCAAUCCCUGUUUUGGGAAGAUCCCACAUGCCAUGGAGCAACUAAGCCCGUGUGCCAACAGCUACUGAGCCCAUGCUCUAGAUCCCAUAUACCACAACUACUGAAGCCCUAGAGUGCCCUAGAGCCCAUGAUCCGCAAGAAGAGAAGCCAUUGCCACAAUGAGAAGCCCAAGCACUACAACUAAAGAAAGGCUGCGAGUAGCAAUGAUGACCUAGUGCAGAAGACCAAAUAAAUAAGGAGACCCAAAUAAAUAAAUAAAUGAACAUCCAAAUAAAAAUUUUAAAUAUAUGUUAAAAGAAAAAAAAAGAAUAGCUGAUUCAAAUAUUCCCCAGCCUAACUCACUCUCUCCCUGCCAAUCUCCUCUCCACAACUACAACACCCUCACAUCCAGUUUUGUUCUCCACAAAUCCAUCCUCUAUGUGUUGGUCAUAGCAAUCUUUUUUUUUUUUUGGCUGUGCUGGGUCUUAGUUGUAGCACGAAGGAUCGUCAGUCUUCAUUGAGGCAUGUGGACUGUUUAGUUAUAGCAUGAGAAGUCUUAGUUGUGGCAUGUGGGUUCUAGUUCUCUGACCAGGAAUCAAACCCAGGCCCCCUGCAUUGGGAGUACAGAGUCUUAUCCACUGGACCACCAGGGAAGUCCCCACUGCAAUCUUUAAAAAACACACACCCAAGUCACCCUCCUGCAUAGAGUCAGACAGAGACUGGCUAUUGCCCUUGGAGCAAAGUGCAAACUCUGACCAGGGGGAGCGGGUGUUGUAGGCCCUGUUAACUUGUCCAUCCUUCUGUGUCCACACUGGUUCCCUCAACCCUCCAACUCAACAGUCCAGCAGCACAGACCGCGUUUUAUGUUUGGGUUUCCUGGCCUGUACCGGAGUGGUUUCUCCUGUCUAUAUUUAUGCAGUGCCCUCUGCCUGGGAUGCCAGCCCUCUCCUCUGCACCUAGAAACUCCUAUUCUGUCUUUAAGCCUCAGCUUAGAUAUCCCCUUGGGGUUAGGGGCCCCUUCUUUCUCCCCUAGGCUGUGCCUGCCCCAGACAAUGUGCAGAAGACACUGAACCAUAGUUGCUUGAUUACCAGCCUCUCUCUUUCCUGCGAGCUUUGAGGGCAGCUGCCACAUCUUAUAUAUCCCGCAGUCCUAGCCUAAGCGCUUGUCGAAGGUAUGGCGCUCAAUAACUAUUCAAUGAAUGAAUGAACGAUGACAAAUAGCAUCGGUUCAUGUGUUCUAAAAAGAUUUGUGAAAUGAUUAAAUGAGUGGGUAAGUGGAAGUUCGAGUCUAGAGAGAGCUGAAUAGGAUGUUCAGAGAUGAGUAAAACCCGAUCGCAGCUGUCACACAGCUAAGAGGAAGACAAAUACCUUCAAGGAGCGAGUCUGAAGGAUUUAAGAGGGAGGCGUUCUAAUCUUAGGCAGCCCAGGGGGUGUUUCCGGAUCCGACUCCCGCCCUCCCCGCCAAUAGGCGGUCUCAAUGCCUCCCAGGCCUCCUCCCUUUUCACCCGCCGAGGCGGGGCCGGCCACCUUUGGAGAUAAGACUACGCUUCCCGGCGUGCCGCGCGGCGAGCGGAGGAGGAGCCGGAAGUGGGGGGUGCGAGGUCUAAGGGCACAAGGGAAGUGGCGGGCGGGGACUGAGGGGGGCGUGCAGGUGAACGG
ensembl:lncRNA